rnacentral:lncRNA from 1 species
CUUUUUGGUCUUUCCUGCUGCCUUGUGAAGAAGGUGCUUGUUUCUUCUUUGCCUUCUGCCAUGAUUGCCAUGUGAAUCGCACCCCUGGAACUGUGCAGGGCCCACCUGUGUGGCCACACGCAGUGACCCUGAGCAAAGGAGUGACCACAGAAGUGCAUGGCAAAGCAGAAAGGUGUGACGUCUUGGAGGACGCGGGAGGAAAGCACGCCCAGCGGACAGGAGCCAUCACGCGGCUGCGGGCUGCUGCUGAGAACCUGGCGUGGGCCACCGUCGUCAGCAGCGUGGAGGUAACUGACGACCUUGGCCAAGAAGUUGGGUGGCAGCGUGGAGGUCAUGCUCAGAGACACUUGUUAUUGCAGUCAGAGUCCAUCUGGAUAAUCCUGGAUAAAUCUCAUCUGGAGAUCCUUCACCAGAUCACAUCGGCAAUGACCUGUUCCCCAAAUAAGGCCCUGUGCACAGGUUCUGGGGGACAUAUCUUGUAAUUGAAGACGUCUCACCAUAGCGGCCAGCCGUGCAACCACUGGGCCUGUCUGUGCCUGAACAACACACUGGCCUGCCUUUGCCUGAACAAGACAGCCUUAGUCUCAAAGCUUGCAGAUGGGUGUGGCCUGGUAGAAAAUUCUCAAGACAACGGCGGAGCACGCUUGCCCCUAGGAGACCAAGUGGCCGGAAUGUUGAGAAUCAGCCUUUCGCAGAAAUCCCCUAAGCGGGAGGCAGCAGGCUGACUCCAUCAGCCCCAGGCAGGCUUCUGGGCCCUGCAGCUAUGGCUCUUCAUCCUUUUACAUGUUCUUCGAGAAUCAGCUGCACCCUGGAUGCUUCUGACAGCUCAGAGGACAUCAGCAUGAGGACAAGCACAGGGCUUGAUGGCUCGGAGGGAAAUGGAGUUGGAAGAUUUGGACUUAAUGUGCACACAUUUUAGAAAUAUCUUAACAAAUUUUAUUUUGCUGAUAUCUUUCUUUUUUGUGUGUGCCAAAGUGAUGGCCAGUACAAAUCCAUGUCUAAUUAAGUCCAGAAGAGCUCCUUCAAUAAGCGUAAGAUGAAAGUUAUGAGUGAUAAGAAAGCGUCAUGUCAGUUUAAUUGGCAGCAUUUUCUCUUUCUUAGUGGUUCAUAAAAUAA